CUGCACCUCGGGUUGCCUGGGCGGAGGGGGCGGCCGGGGGUUCUCUGAGAGUCGCUGCCCCCGGGAGCGCAGGCCUGGGAGGUGGCCCGCGGUGCGCCAGGCCCUGAGGGUUGGGGUCUCCACUCUGUGCACCCCUGCUCCUCCCAUCUCCUGUCUGAAGCCAGCCUCCUCUUCCCCACGUGCACAGCAGAUGUUCUCCUGAGCACCUACUGUGUGCCUGACCCUGCUCCGACUUCAGAGGAUACAAAGAGGAGCCCCUCCUAGUCCCUGUCCCUCCCGAGGAGCCCAUGGUUGGGGUUAGGUGGAAUCUGACCAAGAAGCUGAUGAAGAAACCGGGCGGUUCUAAGGCGAGUGGGAUGGAGAAAGGGAGGCAGGUGGUCUCAAAGUGCAGCAAAGAAAGACUGGCCUUCCCGCAGGACACAGGCCUGAGGACAGGGAGCGUCUGAGCAUGUAGGAGAAGGUGGGGGGCGAGACUGGAAGAAAGCCAACUGUACCCGGUCUUGAAGGGGCUCUUGGGCCAGGGAAUCCUGGCCGCCCGGGCUCCCGGCUUGCCUCAGUCUCCCCAUCUGCAAACUGGGCCUGUGAAAUGCUGCUCUCCUGCUCAAGGGUCACACAGGGCCUGACUCAGUGGUGUAAGCCUAGAACCUGCCUGGCUGAGUUGAGGACCCAAUGCUCCCCUUGGAAGGGUCUUCACAGAUCCUGGGACAUUCCUUUGGCAAUCCAGAUGGCACUCUAAACUGAGGAACCACCCGUGGUUCGAAAUUCUUUCAGCUGUUAAAAUAUGGGAAAUUCAACGUCUAUCCCUGUAAACUCACUUGGGAUUCCAUAAUAAAUAGUUGAAAUUUCUACACUCAAAGCACAGAUUUACAAGGCCCGCGUAGGGUCCCGUGUUAGUAGAAGGCACGAGAAAGAUCUGUGAAUAAACCAGUGAGUCAUGAUCAAGUCCCGGGAGUGACUCGGGGAGAAAAUGGGAACCUGUUUGGGUCUUGAUUAGACUGAAACCUUAAGAAGUGAACGAACACUGACCCAAGUUCUCAGGAGGGAUGGAGUCUCCUGGGCACCAGCGGCAGACGUGAGGAGAGAAUUUCAAAAGCCAACUCCGGGUCCUCAGUCCCCUGUCACCCAAUUUUUAAAUUUGACCUUUGGGGCAUUCAACAAAAAGAUAAAGGGCCCCAUGAAAUCUUGGAGACAGCGACAGCAGGCGGGAGAACAAGCCCAGGGCUUGCCCUGGCCACAGGCCCGGCCCCUCAGAGAUGAUAUCCAAGGGCUCCACGCCAAAGAGGGAAAAGAGUUGGAGACCUAGAGGAUGUCACCAUGGCAGACUGUCCCCAGCAGGGCCCAUCGACACAGGGGCCGUGCCCCCUUCAUAGAGAGGGGGACCCUGGGGAAGAGAUUGCCUCACCUCCAGAGAGGGACAGGAGGCCAUCUGCCCCAUCAAGGUGCCCUGGAAGACAGAUGCCUGAGGCCUCUCAAGUCCCCUUUGACCUUCUGGACAUCACCACAGAAGAGGCUCAGAGACUCUUGAUGUGGCAGCCUGUUGGAUACUGGAGCUCAACCCUCUGCCUUCCUCAACCCCCAGGACCUUUUUCUAAUCAAACUGUGUGGCCACUGCACCCUGAGGCCAGUUGACUCGCAGAACCUUUCACUUGCAGAUUUAAAAACUUGAUUUUCGGGCUGGGGAUGUGGCUCAAGCGGUAGCGCGCUCGCCUGGCAUGCGUGCGGCCCA